rnacentral:lncRNA from 1 species
AAAAGAAUAAAACUUCACUGCCACCUAUCACUAUUCCAUCACCGGCCGUGAUGGUGCACCUCUAGUAGUACUAUUAGAUUCAUCUUUCUCCUACCUAUCUAAACGUAUUGAUAUCUAGUCGGCUACUGAUAACUAACGGAGGCGUACGCAUGGUGGCAGCCACAAGACCGCAAAUGGACAGAGAGCCAGCGGUACGCACCGCCACCAUCAUUGGUUACAGUGACGACCGGCGAUUACAAUAAAGGUGGCGUUGCCGCAUAAGCCACUGUAUUUCGAUAGAGGAAUUAUGACAGCCCGCCACACUUUGGUUCAGUUUGCGCCACCAUCAAAUCUUCCCUUGCUGAUUUCGUCAGCUCCCUUGGGGCGUAUAUCAGAGAAUUAUAAAUCCUUUGUUACCUAGUAUGACACCAAAGUUUCAAUUUUUUUAUAGCCAGUGCCGUCGCCGGCGCUUCCACCGACUUUGAGAUUAUAAUCGCCGCCGCCGGUGAUUUUUUUUUCCGGUUCAUUUAUUUUUAAUUGUUUCUUUUUUAAAGUAAAAUUGUUAUUCAUGUUGUUGACCAUUAUGUAAUAUAAAAAAUAAGGCAAUGCCAUUCAUAUUAAAUUAAUUACUUAUUAAGUAAUAUUCUUUGCUAA